UACGUAGGGGGCGAGCGUUGUCCGGAUUUAUUGGGCGUAAAGAGCGUGUAGGCGGCCAGGUAGGUCUGCUGUGAAAACUCGAGGCUCAACCUCGAGACGUCGGCGGAAACCAUCUGGCUAGAGUCCGGAAGAGGAGAGUGGAAUUCCCGGUGUAGUGGUGAUAUGCGUAGAUAUCGGGAGGAACACCAGUGGCGAAGGCGGUACUCUGGGCCUUACCUGACGCUGAGACGCGAAAGCGUGGGGAGCGAACCGG
rnacentral:rRNA from 1 species